AGCGAACGCUGGCGGCAGGCCUAACACAUGCAAGUCGAACGAACUCUUCGGAGUUAGUGGCGGACGGGUGAGUAACACGUGGGAACGUGCCUUUAGGUUCGGAAUAACUCAGGGAAACUUGUGCUAAUUCCGAAUGUGCCCUUCGGGGGAAAGAUUUAUCGCCUUUAGAGCGGCCCGCGUCUGAUUAGCUAGUUGGUGAGGUAAAGGCUCACCAAGGCGACGAUCAGUAGCUGGUCUGAGAGGAUGAUCAGCCACAUUGGGACUGAGACACGGCCCAAACUCCUACGGGAGGCAGCAGUGGGGAAUCUUGCGCAAUGGGCGAAAGCCUGACGCAGCCAUGCCGCGUGAAUGAUGAAGGUCUUAGGAUUGUAAAAUUCUUUCACCGGGGACGAUAAUGACGGUACCCGGAGAAGAAGCCCCGGCUAACUUCGU
rnacentral:rRNA from 1 species